rnacentral:misc_RNA from 1 species
UUUCCGUAGGUGAACCUGCGGAAGGAUCAUUAAUGAGUUGUCAUGGGGUUCGAUGCAGGCAGCCAAUUUUUGGAUGCAUGUGCUUGCCCUAACAACCAUCUUCCAAACACCUGUGCACAUUUUGAGGGAGUCUUGAGUUGGUUGCCGCUCUUGGGUGAUUUUCUCACAUUCCCUUAAAUCAUUAUACGCUAUUAACAAUGUUGAACGUGCUCUGUGCCGCAAGGCUAUUAAUAUAAUACAACUUUUAACAACGGAUCUCUUGGCUCUC